rnacentral:tRNA from 1 species
UGAAUUGUAGCUUGGUGGCAGAGCGCUUGCUCAGCAUGCAAGAGGCCCUGGGUUCCAUCCCCAGCACACCAA